rnacentral:rRNA from 1 species
GAUGAACGCUAGCUACAGGCUUAACACAUGCAAGUCGAGGGGUAACGAGAGGAAAGCUUGCUUUCCUUGUCGACGACCGGCGCACGGGUGAGUAACGCGUAUCCAACCUGCCCCCAACUAGGGAAUAACCUUGCGAAAGUAAGACUAAUACCCUAUAAUUUCCUCAGAUGCCAUCUGACGAGGAAUAAAGAUUUAUCGGUUUUGGAUGGGGAUGCGUUUGAUUAGCUUGUUGGCGGGGUAACGGCCCACCAAGGCAACGAUCAGUAGGGGUUCUGAGAGGAAGGUCCCCCACAUUGGAACUGAGACACGGUCCAAACUCCUACGGGAGGCAGCAGUGAGGAAUAUUGGUCAAUGGGCGGAAGCCUGAACCAGCCAAGUAGCGUGCAGGAUGACGGCCCUAUGGGUUGUAAACUGCUUUUAUACAGGAAUAAAGUUAGCCACGUGUGGUUAUUUGUAGGUACUGUAUGAAUAAGGACCGGCUAAUUCCGUGCCAGCCGCCGCGGUAA